rnacentral:rRNA from 1 species
UACGAAGGGGGCUAGCGUUGCUCGGAAUCACUGGGCGUAAAGGGUGCGUAGGCGGUGCUCUAAGUUCGGUGUGAAAGCCCCCGGCUCAACUGGGGAGGGUCACGCGAUACUGAUCGACUCGAAGGCAGGAGAGGGAAGCGGAAUUCCCGGUGUAGUGGUGAAAUGCGUAGAUAUCGGGAGGAACACCAGUGGCGAAGGCGGCUUCCUGGCCUGUUCUUGACGCUGAGGCGCGAAAGCUAGGGUAGCAAACGGG